GUUGCAAUGGCAGGUACAGAGGGAUGCUACCGGGCGACCGGAUGCGGAUCUCGAAAGCCUGUCCCAGUUCGGACUGGAGUCUGCAACCCGACUCCACGAAGUUGGAUUCGCUAGUAAUCGCGCAUCAGCCAUGGCGCGGUGAAUACGUUCCCGGGCCUUGUACACACCGCCCGUCAAGCCAUGGGAGCCGGGGGCGCCUGAAGUCCGGGACCGCGAGGACCGGCCUAGGGCGAAACUGGUAACUGGGGCUAAGUCGUAACAAGGUACC
rnacentral:rRNA from 1 species